UACGUAGGCAGCAAGCGUUGUUCGGAAUUACUGGGCGUAAAGAGCGUGUAGGCGGCUGGGUAGGUCCGUUGUGAAAACUCGAGGCUCAACCUCGAGACGCCGAUGGAAACCCUCCAGCUAGAGUCCGGAAGAGGAGAGUGGAAUUCCUGGUGUAGCGGUGAAAUGCGCAGAUAUCAGGAAGAACACCCGUGGCUAAGGCGGCUCUCUAGUACGGUACUGACGCUGAGACGCGAAAGCGUGGGGAGCGAACAGG
rnacentral:rRNA from 1 species